ACAGGCUUACCCAUGCAAUUCAAGGGCCACCGGGUUGAAAGCUUGCUUUCAAUGCCGGCGACCGGCGCACGGGUCGUAACGCGUAUCAAACCUGCCUCAUACUCGGGGAUAGCCUUGCGAAAGUAAGAUUAAUACCCGAUGUUGUUGCUUUCUCGCAUGGGAGAGUAACCAAAGAUUCAUCGGUAUGAGAUGGUGAUGCGUCCGAUUAGGUAGUAGGCGGGGUAACGGCCCACCUAGCCUUCGAUCGGUAGGGGUUCUGAGAGGAAGGUCCCCCACACUGGAACUGAGACACGGUCCAGACUCCUACGGGAGGCAGCAGUGAGGAAUAUUGGUCAAUGGGCGAGAGCCUGAACCAGCCAAGUAGCGUGCAGGAUGACGGCCCUCCGGGUUGUAAACUGCUUUUAGUUGGGAAUAAAAAAGGGGACUUGUCCCUUCUUGUAUGUACCUUCA
rnacentral:rRNA from 2 species